GUGUGGAAGAGCGGCAACGCUUGAAGCUUACCGGUACUAAUAGUUCGAUCGGCUUGAUCGUUCUCAUU
rnacentral:rRNA from 1 species